CUGCAGCCCGAGUGGUGAUCGAUUUUAUUGAGCCUAAAGCGUCCGUAGCCGGACUAGUAAACCCUUGGGUAAAUUGGGCAGCUUAACUGUCCAAAUUCCGUGGGGACUGCUAGUCUUGGGACCGGGAGAGGUCAGAGGUACUCAAGGGGUAGGGGCUAAAUCCUGUAAUCCUUUGGGGACCACCAGUGGCGAAGGCGUCUGACUAGAACGGAUCCGACGGUAAGGGACGAAACCCUGGGGCGCGAACCGGAUUAGAUACCCGAGUAGUCC
rnacentral:rRNA from 1 species